rnacentral:lncRNA from 1 species
UGAGAGCUGAGAGUGAUUGAGAGGGGUUCGUUGAGAGCGAGAGAGGGAUUCGUGUGAGAGACGGAAAGAUGCGAGUGAGAUGCUGAGGUACGAGCGAUUGUGAGAUUGAGAGAAAUGUGAGGUUUGGUGUGAGGGAGAUUGUGAGAGUUGAUGAGCGUUUUCGAGAGCGGAGAGAGAUUUCAUUGAGGUUCUUUGUGUGAAGCAGAUGGGGAGGACGAGGACGAUGAAGCUGCUUCUGUGUUCUCCGUUUCCAUUUUCUUGUUUUUUCUUUUUUUAAUUUUUUUAUUUAUUUAAUUUAAUUAGUUUUUAACACAAAAAACCAUAAAAAACGUUUAAUUUGUUUUUUUAUUUUAACUCUUUUUUAUUUUCAUCCCGGUUUAUAUAUUCAACGUAGCAAUACAAUAUUAAAUAACCUUGAGUGGUCUGGUGGAGG